rnacentral:rRNA from 1 species
UGACCUCGGAUCAGGUAGGAAUACCCGCUGAACUUAAGCAUAUCAAUAAGCGGAGGAAAAGAAACCAACAGGGAUUGCCUCAGUAACGGCGAGUGAAGCGGCAACAGCUCAAAUUUGAAAUCUGGCCCCAGGCCCGAGUUGUAAUUUGCAGAGGAUGCUUUUGGCGCGGUGCCUUCCGAGUUCCCUGGAACGGGACGCCAUAGAGGGUGAGAGCCCCGUCUGGUUGGACACCAAGCCUUUGUAAAGCUCCUUCGACGAGUCGAGUAGUUUGGGAAUGCUGCUCUAAAUGGGAGGUACAUGUCUUCUAAAGCUAAAUACCGGCCAGAGACCGAUAGCGCACAAGUAGAGUGAUCGAAAGAUGAAAAGCACUUUGGAAAGAGAGUUAAACAGCACGUGAAAUUGUUAAAAGGGAAGCGUUUAUGACCAGACGUGGGCCGGUUAAUCAUCCAGCGUUCUCGCUGGUGCACUUUGCCGGUCCAGGCCAGCAUCAGUUCGCUGCGGGGGAUAAAGGCUUUGGGAAUGUAGCUCCUCGGAGUGUUAUAGCCCUCUGCGUAAUACCCUGCGGCGGACUGAGGUUCGCGCUCUGCAAGGAUGCUGGCGUAAUGGUCAUCAACGACCCGUCU